rnacentral:rRNA from 1 species
CCUACGGGGGACAGCAGUGAGGAAUAUUGGUCAAUGGACGAGAGUCUGAACCAGCCAAGUAGCGUGAAGGAUGACUGCCCUAUGGGUUGUAAACCUCUUUUAUAUGGGAAUAAAAUGUUCCACGUGUGGGAUUUUGUAUGUACCAUAUGAAUAAGGAUCGGCUAACUCCGUGCCAGCAGCCGCGGUAAUACGGAGGAUCCGAGCGUUAUCCGGAUUUAUUGGGUUUAAAGGGAGCGUAGGUGGGUUGUCAAGUCAGUUGUGAAAGUUUGCGGCUCAACCGUAAAAUUGCAGUUGAAACUGGCAGUCUUGAGUACAGGAGAGGUGGGCGGAAUUCGUGGUGUAGCGGUGAAAUGCUUAGAUAUCACGAAGAACUCCGAUUGCGAAGGCAGCUCACUGGACUGCAACUGACACUGAGGCUCGAAAGUGUGGGUAUCGAACAGGAUUAGAUACCCGAGUAGUC